UACGUAGGGGGCAAGCGUUGUUCGGAUUUACUGGGCGUAAAGGGCGCGUAGGCGGCCAGCACAAGUCAGUUGUGAAAUCUCCGAGCUUAACUCGGAAAGGUCAACUGAUACUGUACGGCUAGAGUGCAGAAGGGGCAACUGGAAUUCUUGGUGUAGCGGUGAAAUGCGUAGAUAUCAAGAGGAACACCUGCGGCGAAGGCGGGUUGCUGGGCUGACACUGACGCUGAGGCGCGAAAGCGUGGGGAGCGAACAGG
rnacentral:rRNA from 1 species